GAUGAACGCUGGCGGUAUGCCUAAUACAUGCAAGUCGAGCGGAAAGGCCCCUUCGGGGGUACUCGAGCGGCGGACGGCAGAGUAACGCGUAGGAACGUACCCCAAACUGAGGGAUAACUGCUCGAAAGAGUAGCUAAUACCGCAUGUGGUCUUCGGACUAAAGCCUUCGGGCGGUUUGGGAACGGCCUGCGUUCGAUUAGCUAGUUGGUGAGGUAAAUGCUCACCAAGGCGACGAUCGAUAGCUGGUCUGAGAGGAUGAUCAGCCUGACUGGAACUGAGACACGGUCCAGACUCCUACGGGAGGCAGCAGUAGGGAAUAUUGGGCAAUGGGCGCAAGCCUGACCCAGCAACGCCGCGUGAAGGAAGAAGGCUUUCGGGUUGUAAACUUCUUUUGUCAGGGACGAAGCAAGUGACGGUACCUGACGAAUAAGCCACGGCUAACUACGUGCCAGCAGCCGCCGUAA
rnacentral:rRNA from 1 species